UCCGUAGGUGGAUAAUUAAGUCAGAGGUGAAAUCCUGCAGCUCAACUGUAGAAUUGCCUUUGAUACUGGUUAUCUUGAGUCAUUAUGAAGUGGUUAGAAUGUGUAGUGUAGCUGUGAAAUGUAUAGAUAUUACACAGAAUACCGAUUGCGAAGGCAGAUCACUAAUAAUGUACUGACACUGAGGGACGAAAGCGUGGGGAGCGAACAGGAUUAGAUACCCUGGUAGUCC
rnacentral:rRNA from 1 species